AUCUACUUAAUAUAUAUAGUAUAUUUGACUUCCAAUCAAAAAGUUUGAUUUAAAAACAAAGUAAAUA
rnacentral:tRNA from 1 species